rnacentral:rRNA from 1 species
UACGGAAGGCAGCAGGGGGAAUAUUGCACAAUGGGCGAAAGCCUGAUGCAGCUAUGCCGCGUGUAUGAAGAAGGCCUUAGGGUUGUAAAGUACUUUCAUCGGGGAGGAAAAAACAAAACUAAUAAUUUAUUCUUGACGUUACCCGAAAAAGAAGCACCGGCUAACUCCGUGCCAGCAGCCGCGGUAAUACGGAGGGUGCUAGCGUUAAUCAGAAUUACUGGGCGUAAAGAGCACGUAGGUGGUUUUUUUAAGUCAGAUGUGAAAUCCCUGGGCUUAACCUAGGAACUGCAUUUUUGAAACUGAAAUACUAGAGUAUCGUAGAGGGAGGUAGAAUUCUAGGUGUAGCGGUGAAAUGCGUAGAUAUCUGGAGGAAUACCUGUGGCGAAAGCGGCCUCCUAAACGAAUACUGACACUGAGGGUGCGAAAAGCGUGGGGAGCAAACAGGGAUUAGAUACC